rnacentral:rRNA from 1 species
AACGAACGCUGGCGGCAUGCCUAACACAUGCAAGUCGAACGAAGGCUUCGGCCUUAGUGGCGCACGGGUGCGUAACGCGUGGGAAUCUGCCCUUUGGUUCGGAAUAACAGCUGGAAACGGCUGCUAAUACCGGAUGAUGACGAAAGUCCAAAGAUUUAUCGCCAGAGGAUGAGCCCGCGUUGGAUUAGGUAGUUGGUGGGGUAAAGGCCUACCAAGCCGACGAUCCAUAGCUGGUCUGAGAGGAUGAUCAGCCACACUGGGACUGAGACACGGCCCAGACUCCUACGGGAGGCAGCAGUGGGGAAUAUUGGGCAAUGGGCGCAAGCCUGAUCCAGCAAUGCCGCGUGAGUGAUGAAGGCCCUAGGGUUGUAAAGCUCUUUUACCCGGGAAGAUAAUGACUGUACCGGGAGAAUAAGCCCCGGCUAACUCCGUG